rnacentral:rRNA from 1 species
AUUCCAGCUCCAAUAGCGUAUAUUAAAGUUGUUGCGGUUAAAAAGCUCGUAGUUGGAUUUCUGCUGAGGACGACCGGUCCGCCCUCUGGGUGAGUAUCUGGCUUGGCCUUGGCAUCUUCUUGGAGAACGUAGCUGCACUUGACUGUGUGGUGCGGUAUCCAGGACUUUUACUUUGAGGAAAUUAGAGUGUUUCAAGCAGGCACACGCCUUGAAUACAUUAGCAUGGAAUAAUAAGAUAGGACCUUGGUUCUAUUUUGUUGGUUUCUAGAGCUGAGGUAAUGAUUAAUAGGGACAGUCAGGGGCACUCGUAUUCCGCCGAGAGAGGUGAAAUUCUCAGACCAGCGGAAGACGAACCACUGCAAAAGCAUUUGCCAGGGAUGUUUUCAUUA